rnacentral:misc_RNA from 1 species
GAUGAAGAACGUAGCGAAAUGCGAUAAGUAGUGUGAAUUGCAGAAUUCAGUGAAUCAUCGAAUCUUUGAACGCACAUUGCGCCCCUUGGUAUCCCGAGGGGCAUGCCUGUUCGAGCGUCAUUUCACCACUCAAGCCUGGCUUGGUGUUGGGCGACGUCCUCUUUGGGGACGCGCCUCGAAACGCUCGGCGGCGUGGCACCGGCUUUAAGCGUAGCAGAAUCUUUCGCUUUGGAAGUCGGGGCCCCGUCUGCCGGAAGACCUGCUCGCAAGGUUGACCUCGGAUCAGGCAGGGAUACCCGCUGACCUUAAGCAUAUCAAUAAGCGGAGGA